CCUACGGGAGGCAGCAGUCGAGAAUCAUUCACAAUGGGGGAAACCCUGAUGGUGCGACGCCGCGUGGGGGAAUGAAGGUCUUCGGAUUGUAAACCCCUGUCAUGUGGGAGCAAAUUAAAAAGAUAGUACCACAAGAGGAAGAGACGGCUAACUCUGUGCCACCAGCCGCGGUAAUACAGCGGUCUCAAGCGUGGUUCGGAAUCAUUGGGCGUAAAGCGUGCGUAGGCUGUUUCGUAAGUCGGGUGUGAAAGGCGCGGGCUCAACCCGCGGACGGCACAUGAUACUGCGAGACUAGAGUAAGGGAGGGGGAAGCGGAAUGCGCGGUGUAGCAGUGAAAUGCGUAGAUAUCGAGAGGAACACUCGUGGCGAAGGCGGGUUGCUGGACAUUAACUGACGCUGAGGCACGAAGGCCAGGGGAGCGAAAGGGAUUAGAUACCCGAGUAGUC
rnacentral:rRNA from 1 species